rnacentral:lncRNA from 1 species
ACCCAUUUACUUUCCCGGUUGCCCCCCAAAUGUUUGCCCUGCCCUCACUCUUUACCCCAAAAUCUGGAAAAUCCCUAAAGUAAACCAUCUUCCUCUUCAUCACUCAUCAAUUUCUGAAAAUUGAAAUCCCUCUCCCGUUCGGCUGUCCCUCACCCAUCUCCGGUUAAACCAUCCUUCUUCGUCAUUUUAUGGAACUUUCCUGAAAAUUGUUUGUUCAUUAGUUUUUGCUCGCUAGACGCCGCAUCGAAACAACUCAAGUUCAGGUUUUUCUAUUUUUCUUCUGGUAAUUUUGUUCUUAAUGAUGUUUUAAUCCAAAACCUUUUUCAUUUAAAAAUGUUUUAGUGAAAAAUAUUUUGGAUAUAGUGUAAAAUGGUAUUGAGUCUGCAGAAUAUACAUGUGUGGUGGAUUUGAAAUAUUAAGGGAAAACCCCAAAUCUUUUCACCCAUAAGACAAGAUAUUUGCAAAUGUGGUGUUUGGUUUGUUCAUGAGAACAGUAUCAUAGUUUUUCAUCAUUUCUUUUAAGGAGUUAGUUGAUGAUACAACUAGGGUUGGAUUUUGACCUAAUUUAAGAAACAUUAAUGACCCAUAUUUGAAUGAAAGGUUCCGAAGGGAUCGAUGGGGGAGUUUCACAAGUUAAAAAAGGUGGCCAAUGGUUGGUAACUUUGUGGGAUAAUGAGGCAAAUUAUGUAAUUUGUGUUUUGGUAGUUUAAGUAAAAAAUAAAAUAAAAUAAAGAGGAUGAAAGAGAGAAACAAUGGGUUGUAAAGUUUAAUUUCAUUGAUGAGCUCUAUUAAUGGUGGUAUCUCCAAACUUUUGCAGAUUAAAUUAUGAACUAAAUAAGAAAAACUCAUAUUGAGCAUUUGCAUUUAUUUUCUUCUCUUUUUUGCAAUAUAAAAUUCCAUCAAUUGAGCGUGACUUCGAUAUUUUUAGAUUUUUUGAGUAAGAGUUAAAGUAUCAAUUCUAUCUUUAAUGGUGCAUGUUAAAACAAUCCAGCAAACAUAAACAUUUGAUGUUUGUGAUGGGUAUCGGUUAAAGCUUCAAUUCUAUCUUUAAUGGGGCAUUUUCUUUUAAUUACUAUUUAAGAAUUUUAUUUUUAUCGACAAGUUGGAUUUAGAGAGACGUUAACAUUACUACUAAUCAGUUUUGGGAUAAAGUAAUUUGGUUUUCAACAAUUAUUUGGACUGUUGCAUAUUUUUAAUUUCUUGGAGUGGUAGCAGUGUAUUGAGAAAUGCAUUGGUUCCUCCCGAAAUGAAGUUGAAUUUAUAGUUUGAAGUGACAAAUUGAUGCAUAUUACUCUACCCUUAGUCAUAGUGAAAGCUUGAAUUAAGGUUUUUAAGGUCGAUAGACAUGAUUAAGCUUUUAUUCAAACAAAUAUAUUCGAUUCGAUUCGAAUUUCAUUUCACACGACUCGAUUUGAGAAAAUUUUAAAUUGAGUUAGGAUGAUAAAAUAGAAUUCGUCAACUCGAUUAACUCGGAAUUUUUUCAUUCGAUUCGAUCGAACACUCACCCCUAGUGAGUAGCAUCGAGUAAAGCUUGUAUAGUAACCCUGAUCUGAAGCUUGUGUGAGUAGCCGAAAUAUGAAAAUGGUAACUAAAUGAAAAUGAAAUGGUUGAAAAUAUUGAAUAUGAAAUUAAUGGUUAAGUUGACAAAAUGAGCAAACUUGAAUAGCAUGAUAAUAACGAUAUGGUAGUACUUGCAUAUGAAUUGAGAAUUAUAAUCUUGUAGUAUUAAUGAACUGAUCUCUUAGUCAUCUUUUGAAAUUAUAUAUGUAUGUAUAGGAUGCCAAAGGAAUGUCAUGCUAUGCUCAAAUGCGUUUCAAUUACUUAAACUAAUUGUAGUGUCAAGGUAAGUUAAGUUGAUUUUCAUAUGGACUUACUAAGCAUUUUUUAUGCUUAACCAUUGAUUUCUUUUCUCCGUGUGUUGGUCGAAUCAACUUGAGGAUCACACUAUCCUACUUUUGACUUGAUAGUCCAUUGAUCAUUUUUAGUUCGUUUAUAUGGCAUGUACAUAGGUGUUUAUCUAAGUAUUACUUGUGAAUGAUGAUUGGUUUAAAUCUAAUUUAAGACUUGAUGCUGUAAAGUUAUUAUGCACAUAUGCAAUAGUACAUGUCUGGGUAAAUUUUAGUGAGCUUAAUGAUGGUAUUAGAUGAUUUAUAACCUUGUUAGUAAGUUUGGUAUACUUUGUUGUGAAAUGGUGUCAAAUUGUGGCAUAUUGGUUUAGUUGAUAUUAGGAAAUGUAUGAAUGAAUGUUAGGUGUGUAUUUCGAAUUGGUUUUAUACAGGUUUUGUGCCUGUUUAUAUGUACUAAGUGAGUACAAAUUGGUUUAGGCAUGAAUAGGGUGCCAAAAUUGGAGAUUUUUUUACCAUUUUUGCCUUUGGGUUUGAUACCCUAGGAAGGGUAUCGACACUUUAACAAAUUUUCUUAAUUUCCAAAACUUCGAAUACAAAAAUGGUAUUGAUACCAGACUAAAGUAUCGGUACUCUAUAUCAAAGUACUGAUACUUUACAAGGAUAUCAAUACGCUGGAUUUUGCCUUAUUUUUACAAAAAGAAACAGAUUCACAAAUUUGUAUCGGUCGGUACUUUGUAAAUGAAGUAUCGGUACCUUAUUUUAGGUAUCGAUACUAUUGAGUUUUUAUAUAUUUUUCUAAAAUAUCAAAGUUAAAAAUGGAAUCAGCACUUCUUAUGGAAACUUUUAAAAUUUUACAUUUUGGUCGUUUUUGAUGUUUUGUUUAGCAAAUGAGCUUUCGUAAGCUCGAUCAAGUCUUGGAAAACAUCGUAUGACGUAUUUAUGAUAUGUUAUGAUUAAGAAAGCUUGUUUUAUGGUAUAAUCUGAUUAUUAAAUGUUGUAAUUGUUCUGGUAACGAUUGUAGCAUUUCAUAACUCAAAUCCGACAAUCGGAUCGGAUGAGAGGUGUUACAAAGUUUCAGUGCUUAAAAAUUCAUACGAAUUAUAUGAAUUUUGAUUUGAUGUAAGUAUGUAUAUAAAGUUGUGGACUUUGAUUUUGAUUUAAAGAAAUAAAUAUAUCUAUUUAUUUUUAUAUUGAAUUAAUAUAUUUAUUUUUAUAAUUGUUUGCAUUUAAAUGGUGAUAUGCUAAUAUUGUUAGCAGGUUGUAAAAAUUAAAUCAAAAUCAAAGUAAAAUUCCAUGAAUACAAAAUUAAAGUUAUCUGUAUAGUUUUGCUAUUUAUCUAAAAAGAAUUAAGGUUUAAUUCACAGUUUGGCCCUUAAAAGAAUACUCAUUUUUCCACUUUGAUAUCUAAAUUUUUUGUCUUAAUUUGGUACUUAGAAUAUCGAUCACUAUUCAAUUUGGUACCUAAAGUAUGCCUCCAUUAAAUUUUUGAGUUUAUUUUUUUUGGACAUUAAAAAAAUUGAUAGCCAAUUAAAAAAUGUCACAUGGUGACUUUAAGUAAAAAAAAGAAAAUAAAGAUUUUCUUUUAUUAAAUGUAUAUAUACAUUAAAAAAUAUGAAAAUAAAAAUAAAUAUAUAAAAAUUUUAGAAAUAUAUAUAAUUUAGAAAAUUAAUAUGAAUUAUAAAAAAAAUUUAAAAAUACGAUGAUAGAAAAGAAAUUAGCUGAAAUUAAUAAUAUUAUUAUAAAAAUGUAAAAAAAUAUUUAAAAAAAGUUUAAAAACAAUUUUUUUAUGAAAUACUAAAAACGUAUUUAAAUUUCAAUGUUUAUUUUGUAAUUACUUGAAAUUUAAAUACUUUUUAAAUUUUUAUAUAAUAUUUUGACUUUUUAAAAAGUAUAUUAUAUAUUUUAAAUUUUUAUAAAAAUUUCAAUUAUUUUUUAUCCAUUUUAUAUGUUUUUUUAAUUUUUAAUCAAUAUAAAAUAUAAUAUUUAAAAAAUUAAAAAGGAUACGUGACUAAAUUUAAUAGUACCACAUGACCGGUCAACAAUCGGUCAAUGAUUCCCCAACACCAGUCAAUAGUUGGUCAACUCUAGUCAAUGAUUGGUCAAAGUCAACAAUAUUUUUCAAUAUCUAAAUAUUUAAUAUUAUAAUUUUCUAUUUCUAUUUUUAAUUUAAAUUUAAUAUUUUUAUUUUAAGUAGAUCUAAUUGCCACGUACCACUUUUUGAUUGGUUAAAACAAGUCACGUGGCACUUUUCAAUUGGCCAAAGUGGCCUAAAAAAAUUUUUUAACGACUAUUACAAAAUGGACCAAAAGUAAAAAUAAUUGAUAUUUUAAGUACUGAAUUGGAAUAAAAAAUUUGAAGUGCCAAAGUGAAAAAUUAGAUAUAUUUCAAGAGUCAAAUCAUGAAUUAAGUCAAAAAUUAACUAGUCCUUAUUAACGAAAAUCGUCUAUUAAACGAUUCGACUCUUGAUGAUGCUAUGAUAAACAAUGGUAUAUAUGUCAAAUUAACAAUAAAAUAAAAAAUUUAAGAAGUGAUUUUAAAAUUAAUAAAAAUACUGAUAACAUAUUAAUUUGUAUGUUAUUUUAUGCUUAAUUUGGUUCAUUUCUGAAUCGAUCCAGCUAAAUUAGUACUUUUAUGUUUUAAUCUUGUCAGGGAUGCAAUUGGGAUGCUAAGAGACAAAAACGAGCAAAAAAGGACCAAAUUGAAACACAACCAAUAAAAAUGAGGCCGAAUAAGAAAUGUGGAGAAAAGCCAAGGACUCGUCAGAAUUUUUAACUUUGUAAAAGCCAAAAAUAGAUUAAAAAUCUUAUUUUAUUUUUAUUUAUU